UUGAGACGGGUUCAGAAGUCUUAUAAAUUAUAACUUGGGUCAGCGUUGCUGUAUCUUAUAUUAUACAACGCUGUUCCUGACAAAUACGUGUAAUAGCUUGCACGUCGAACAAUUAAUAGCACAAAUCGAUACUCCGACUGACCACCACUUCAUUCUGUUUGACAAAUGUUCGCGAUUUUAUAUGACAGACGUCGGCACAAUAAAAAAAAAACUAUGUGGGAAACAGAUAAGGAAAUAUCCCGCCGGCUUUUCGACAAAUGUCGGCACAGUUCCCUGUGAAGUCAGCCCAGAACGCGCGGUUCCCCUCCUCUAGAAGGUUUAUGGUGAUUCAGGAAAAGAGGCAGGAAGUCCCGUAGGCAUUCCAGGGAGAACUUUCCUCAGACAAGCCGUACGGGACCCACUAAGAACUUUGACAGAUAAACCGCAUAGUGAUAAUAUAGCACAGUCGCCAAGUGUUGAAGGACCAAGGAAGUUUGAUCUCGCUAGAGCCUCGUGUCCAAGGGUUAAAACCCACUUUUACAUCCUAAUUUGCAUAAUUGUAGUGAUCGUAAAACCUUAAAACCCCGAAAAUGAACUUGGCAAAGUGCCAAUAAGUAGUGUGCUUUCAGCACCACCUCUUGUGCAAUCUGUAAUGCGAAUAGCACUGCUUUUUUUUUUCUUUAAUUUUCUGCCAGAUAUCUAUAGAUUUUAUCUAGUUUCACAGCUCCAGAAAUAAGACAUCCACGAAUUUCUCAACGAGCAUCAAUCUCAUAACAGGUGGUCCUCAGUGGGGGAGAUGUUCAGCAUCAUCAAGGUCUUACUGUUUCCACCUAGACUGUUCAUCAGCAGAUACCCACCUUUGCAGCCCUGACCGGAUCGUGUGUUACUACCGGUAAUUCGAAGCCGGCACACGGAAUGAGAUCUCGACGAGUGCUCGUUGGACUGCGUGGCCCCGGUGCUCCUGUUCUUCUGGGCACGGUUCAGAAGCUCAUAGAUCUGCGUACAAGACAGAAAUACAAAAACAAAGACAAUUACAAGAGUAGAAACUACUUCAAAUGAAGCAGCGAGAUUAUGCAGCUGUUGAAGUUGUCAACAGGAGCUGCCGACAAGUAAAAUCAAUUUUCAAGAGCACCUUAAUUGAAGACGUUUGGUGGGAGUAAUGAGGGGGCGAGAAACCCCUAUAUUCUGACUCAGCGGUCAAGUGACUUAUUUUUUCCAAGUGCUGUGAAGUGCAGCAGAGCUGUUCGCUCCUAUGCCUUCGUGUUUUAUGUAGGAAGUAUCUUUCCCUUGGUGAACAAACUGACUAUCUUAUGAUACACAAUUUUAUGACAGCUCUGUGGGGUCAGAGUUUCAGUGAAAGGCUUACGUAGGGCUUCCUCCUAGAGGGCUCAACUUUCGGGUGAAACAUGGAAAAACUCGAGAAGUGAACUUGCUAUUGCGCAAAGUCAGCCACUCAGAGGCAUGUGAAUGCUAAAUGCUUCUUCUGCCUGUCGUGAGCCAGUGUUCACUUUUUUUUUUGCACCUCAACAUGUACCUGUCAAUACAAAAUCAACCAAUUUUACAGCUUCUGUCAUAGGAAACCAUAAAGGUCAGUCUUCAUGGUUUCUAUCCACAAUUUACCAAUAAACUGAAUAUCA